rnacentral:rRNA from 1 species
GAUGAACGCUGGCGGCGUGCCUAAUACAUGCAAGUCGAGCGAAUGGAUUAAGAGCUUGCUCUUAUGAAGUUAGCGGCGGACGGGUGAGUAACACGUGGGUAACCUGCCCAUAAGACUGGGAUAACUCCGGGAAACCGGGGCUAAUGCCGGAUAACAUUUUGAACCGCAUGGUUCGAAAUUGAAAGGCGGCUUCGGCUGUCACUUAUGGAUGGACCCGCGUCGCAUUAGCUAGUUGGUGAGGUAACGGCUCACCAAGGCAACGAUGCGUAGCCGACCUGGGAGGGUGGUCGGCCACACUGGGACUGAGACACGGCCCAGACUCCUACGGGAGGCAGCAGUAGGGAAUCUUCCACAAUGGACGAAAGUCUGACGGAGCAACGCCGCGUGAGUGAUGAAGGCUUUCGGGUCGUAAAACUCUGUUGUUAGGGAAGAACAAGUGCUAGUUGAAUAAGCUGGCACCUUGACGGUACCUAACCAGAAAGCCACGGCUAACUACGUGCCUGCAGCCGCGGUAA